rnacentral:rRNA from 1 species
GAUGAACGCUAGCUACAGGCUUAACACAUGCAAGUCGCAGGACUGGCGCACGGGUGAGUAACGCGUAUCCAACCUUCCCAUAACUACGGGAUAACCCGUUGAAAGACGUCCUAAUACAGUAUGGUUAUGGAUGGGGAGGCGUCUGAUUAGCUUGUUGGCGGGGUAACGGCCCACCAAGGCGCCGAUCAGGAGCGGUUCGGAGGGGAAGCGCCACCAGAUUGGAACUGAGGCCCGGUCCAAACUCCGACGGGAGGAAGGAGGAUGGAAUAUUGUGGAAGGGGGGAGGGCCUGAACAAGCCAAGUAGCUUGCAGGAUGACGGCGUAGGGGUUGUAAAUUGCUGGUAUGUGGGGAUAGGUACCACAUGAAUAAGGACCGGCUAAUUCCGUGCCAGCAGCCGCGGUAAUAC